rnacentral:rRNA from 1 species
UAGCUAGUUGGUGGGGUAAGGGCCUACCAAGGCGACGAUCGGUAGCUGGUCUGAGAGGAUGACCAGCCACACUGGAACUGAGACACGGUCCAGACUCCUACGGGAGGCAGCAGUGGGGAAUAUUGGACAAUGGGGGCAACCCUGAUCCAGCAAUGCCGCGUGUGUGAAGAAGGCCUGAGGGUUGUAAAGCACUUUCAGUGGGGAGGAGGGUAUUUAGGUUAAGAGCUAGGAUACUGGACGUUACCCACAGAAGAAGCACCGGCUAACUCCGUGCCAGCAGCCGCGGUAAUACGGAGGGUGCGAGCGUUAAUCGGAAUUACUGGGCGUAAAGAGUGCGUAGGUGGUUUGAUAAGUUAUGUGUGAAAUUCCUGGGCUCAACCUGGGGUGGUCAGAUAAUACUGUUAGGCUCGAGUAUGGGAGAGGGUAGUGGAAUUUCCGGUGUAGCGGUGAAAUGCGUAGAGAUCGGAAGGAACACCAGUGGCGAAGGCGGCUACCUGGCCUAAUACUGACACUGAGGCACGAAAGCGUGGGGAGCAAACAGGAUUAGAUACCCUGGUAGCCCACGCCGUAAACGAUGUCAACUAGCUGUUGGUUAUAUAAAAAUAAUUAGUGGCGC